CACUCUCCUGGAGAAAGUCAGACUGGCCUGUUAGCAACGGAAUGAAGCAACGGGAUUGCUGAGAAAACGCAUACAAUGAAGGAGGGAUAGUUGGUGUCACUCUACACCAGGUGCUUCCUAGAUUUCUGCGUAGAUUGUUGAGUAAACAGAAGUAUGAUAGAUGUCACUAAGAAGUCACACAGCAUCCACAGAUAAAGCACGGGGCAUGUGCCACCCUUCUCCACUUCUUUGGUGCUGGAGACUCCAGACCUGUGUGGGAAACAAGAGAAGAGUCAGUGUGUGUGCUACAAAUGAUUAGAAAAAAGGAAAGGAAGUACCUGGGUACAGAAAAAUCAACUGUCAAAUAAACACCCAGUGAUGGGGUCACCAAAGACUGAGUAGACUCAGGCCAUUCAGGAAUAAGGAGAACAGCUCAGGAGAGAACAGAUAAGUACAUACCUUCCCACCUUCCCCUCCAUUCCUCUUCAUAAAUUCAAGAUUUAACAUAAAGCUUUGGCUUCUAGCAGUAAAUAUGCAGUUAUAUUGGUCUCUCUCCUAUUAAACAGUCUUGAAGCCAAUCUGAUGUAAUGUUCUUGAACCUGAAUAAAACUUCCUGAGUGACUAGAAUAUUCAUUUGUAUAUCCUUUCUUGGUCCCCUCACCCCACUUUCUAUACAGACGGACCCCAUUUGGUUCUCUCUAAAAUUACAGAUGGGUUAGGUUUUUUGACCCAUCCAAACAGCAAUAUCAUAUUUGGCAUGAAUUGCAUCAAAUAAUGGUUUUUUUUCUUUUUUUGAGACAGGGUUGAACUGUGUAGUU